ensembl:lncRNA
GGUUAAAUCAGCUUGAUAAAAUACUAUUUUUGUGCUCAGCUGUUAGUCUGUCCACAGCAGUGCCUACUCACGUUUAAACAGAAAUGCACAUGUUUUGAAAUCCCAGGCUCAUUCCCUGUAUACCUAACAGGGCAGUUUGAAGUAGUAUGGUUUCUGGUAGUUCCAGUCCCUAGGGGGGGUAAGUUUUUUGUUUGCUCACAAGCACAAAAGGCUCGAGUUAAUCUUUUUGCUGGUUGCUGAUUGGAGUGCGUUCCUAUUUGUGAUCCAAACCAAAAUGAAGAGUAUAUUCUUGCUGCUUUUCCUCAAAGCCUGACCUCUGGCUUUUUCCACUUAGUCUUCUUUGUAUGCUGAAAUAUAUCAUGUACAUCCAUAGAAUGUCCUGGAAUUCCAGGAAGUAAUCAGCUGGAAAGUUUUGUGUCACUUAAGAUUUUUCUGAAGGCAACCAUUUUGUUCUCCAUCCAAGAUGAGAAUCAUUGUAUUCUGCACAAAUAUGGAGGUCGUGGAGAUAUUUGUGGGUCUUGGUUCUUGCAGGCUAAAAGCUGAAAAGCCAUAUGUCAGAACAGCACUGUUAAUAGAUCCAGCAAAAGGCAAGGGAUGCGUAUGGCUGGGGCUGUGGAAUGGGAUCUCAGUGGCUGUGACAAAGCAGAGACAGAAGAACCAACAACCCAGCCUCCUCUGUCUUGGUCAUAUUUAACCUUUAUUUACUGAUUCCGGCCUGAAGUCUGCCUGUCCAGCGUAGCGCAAGGCACAUCAAACUCAGCUUUCUGCCAAAGGGGGCCCACUGUGACAAAGAAAAACGUCUACCCAUCUCCUGCAAGAAUGAGAAAACUGAGAAUUUACUUGGUGGAGUCGCUGUCUUACAUCUGCAGUGUGUGCACGCAGGCUGGAAGAGCAGUGCUGCCAGGUAGCCUGCUGGGUGUCCGCGCACUGCUGCAGCAGCUCACCACUCGGUUCUCAGCACACACGCACAUGAAAAACCAUUUUCUCCUUCAGUAUUUACAACCAACCACUCCGUUACCCACAUCCUGUUGACAGGAGAAACAAUGGAAGGCUCCUCAUAGCUUAUUACUCAUAAAACCUGACUCGUUCAGACAGAUCAUUUGCAGCUAGUGAACUCGAAGUGAUUACUUCUGACUGCAGUGUCCCUCAGAGCGUGAGGGCUGGGAGAGGUGGUGCUUUCAUUACUCCUCUUCAUUCACAUCUUUUUGGGCUUUAGUUCCCAGUUAGUUUCUUGGCUUUGAAUUUUUUGCUAUGUUUUUCUUUCAGAUUAUUCGACUCAUUCAGCUCCAAUAUUCUUUCGGCACAUGUAGAAAAAUUACUGUUAUCAAAAGCUGGUUCAGUUCAGCCAGUUCUCGUUCCAGAUGUUCAGAUGGUAAUUCCAUCACUUCAGAGAUUUUAUGUUCCCUUAAAACUUUAACAGCGAAUGCUUAUGGUUUUCACCUUAGAUGUUAUGAAACUCAUCUUUAAAAUUAUAUUGUUUCAAUAGCCCAUGGAAGAAUGUCACACUUGAUCUUAAAUAGGCUUAUCUCUAAGUAGGAUAUUGAUAUUACUAGUAAGUCCAGUUCAAGUGUUUGCAUAUGCAUACGUAAAAGCAUACGAAUAUACUUUAAAAGAAAACAAGAUUUUUCAAUGCCAUGUAGUCUGAAGUCCCGGCUUCCAGAGAUGAAGGGGAACAUUUAUGUUUGCAAAAUACCUGCCAAAAGAUAAUGGGUUCUCCUGGCUCGUGCUCUAUCUUAAUCGUGAAAGCACCGUUCCUCAGACGCCUAAGAUGGACUGAAGCUUCUUUUGAAUGUUCCUUGUAUUUGUUUUGUAUAUGAAUUAAAGACCUCAUAUCUGAAUGUAAUGACAUUUGGGGUUGAAUUUUAGGGUGGCUUAUGUAGGAAUAUAGCAGUGCUGUAUGCAGCUUUACAAGAAACCAUCUGAGGAGGGGGGAAUGGGAGGAUACGUUAUUUGGAAAUACUGAAAUGGUUCUUACUUGAACCCAGGAUUAGCAGAAAUGGGGCACAGAUGGUAAGAAGAAACAAGAAUAACUUUGAUCGUGUAAAUUUGAAACUUGCUGUGAGAACUAUUUCAAAAUAGUUAUUUUAGGAACCAAAGACAUUACUGUAGAAAAUGGAUGUAGGUGUUCUCACUGAAGCAGAUUUUCUGUGCUCGUUACCUGAAUGGAAGGGGAACUGUUUCUUUAAAGAUGUUAACAGAAGUUUUUGGCACAGAGACAAAAGCCCCACAGCAAGGCCACUGGUGCAGAAUCCCGGCCCUGCUGUCUGUGCAUUAGCAAAUUGUGCAUUAAUUAGCUGAUAGGGCUCACAAAACCGCUUUGUGGAACAGCGUUUAGCCAAUGAGGAGCAACAGCCACCUGUAUGUUCGUGAAGCCAAGCUGCCAGAGGAGGUGUGCCUCCCACCUUCAGCGAGAUUAGACUGAGAGUGUAAUUAAUCUUGUCUGAAAUGCACCUUGGCCAUUGGCUUCUCCAAACUUUGUUUUCUUGUAAUGUUUUCUUUGCCUUACUUUUUUCUUUUGCACAGGUUUAGCUUUUUAUCGUUCACCAGCCUGCUUGUUUCUGCAAGAUAAUUCCACCCCUGUAUUUGUCACAGUGAAGGAGCUGCAGCAGGAGAGCUGAGAGGCACAAAAAAGGCCCAGCUCAAUGAGAAGGAGUGCUCCUGUGGCCUGGCACAGCUUCUGUGCUGCUCUGCUUGCCCCUAUGCGUACAUCCCAGCACAGCCUUCUUUCUCUCUUGUUCAGCACUGCUUAUCAGACUGAAAGUUGAAAAACCAACCACGUAUUCGCACGAAAUGGCUCAACACCUAUAUUCUGGUUUUAAUACUAACUUCCUUGCCUCCUGUUCUUGGAAUAUUUCAUGUCAUGAAAAUCCUCGGUAUUCAUCUUUUUAUCUCAAAUGCAUCGCUCUGUUUCUCUGAAUAUCAAAAGCAAUGCUUUGUCUGGGAUGGAUGCUAAAACGCGUGACCAGCCUUAAUGAAGACAAUGCCAAAUAAACGCAAUUCAG